GCCUACUGUUUAAUUUUGAGGGUUCGUUUUUACGAAUACUCAAAAUUAGCACUUUAAGCAACGGGAUUUAUCCGUUGGCGCCGUGCUUUAGCACUUUGAAAACUGCAUAUAUAUUUAGUGAUAUGACAUCUAAUUUGUAAUAUAUAAAGCUGAUAACUUUUAAAAAUUAUCAAGUUGAUAGACUUUAAUCUAUCAAACCUUUUUAACUGGUCAA
rnacentral:misc_RNA from 1 species